CCAAUAGCGUAUAUUAAAGUUGUUGCAGUUAAAAAGCUCGUAGUUGAAUUUCGGGAUUGACGUGAUGGUCGUGCCUUAAGGGGUAUGAACUGUCGCAGUUGAUUUCUCACCUUCUGGAGAAGCAUGAUGUCCUUAAUUGGGUGUCAUGUGGAACCAGGACCUUUACCUUGAAAAAAUUAGAGUGUUUAAAGCAGGCAUUU
rnacentral:rRNA from 2 species